rnacentral:rRNA from 1 species
AUUGAACGCUGGCGGCAGGCUUAACACAUGCAAGUCGAGCGGAGAUGAGGUGCUUGCACCUUAUCUUAGCGGCGGACGGGUGAGUAAUGCUUAGGAAUCUGCCUAUUAGUGGGGGACAACAUUCCGAAAGGAAUGCUAAUACCGCAUACGUCCUACGGGAGAAAGCAGGGGAUCUUCGGACCUUGCGCUAAUAGAUGAGCCUAAGUCGGAUUAGCUAGUUGGUGGGGUAAAGGCCUACCAAGGCGACGAUCUGUAGCGGGUCUGAGAGGUUGAUCCGCCACACUGGGACUGAGACACGGCCCAGACUCCUACGGGAGGCAGCAGUGGGGAAUAUUGGACAAUGGGGGGAACCCUGAUCCAGCCAUGCCGCGUGUGUGAAGAAGGCCUUAUGGUUGUAAAGCACUUUAAGCGAGGAGGAGGCUACUGAGACUAAUACUCUUGGAUAGUGGACGUUACUUGCAGAAUAAGCACCGGCUAACUCUGUGCCAGCAGCCGCCGUAAAAC